ACGACAAAAGAAACUGGAGAUUUUAACUUUGCUUCAGAUUACAUUUUUAAAGUGUUUGUUGUUUCAGAUUCUUCAAGUGAAGUCAGGAGAAGAAACACUGCUGCAAGGAACAAGAAUUUGCAGCUCAGAUUAAGUUUUAUUGGUUCACAUUGUGCAACUCUUAAUGAAGAACGGGUUAAACUCGUCUGGAAAAACAAGUUUAAAAAAAAAACUAAGAUAAUUGACCUAAUUUUUGACCUUUACUAUCAAAAUCUAUCUUGAAUCUUAUACCAGAACUGAGGGGGCUCAGAAGUCCGUUUAGCCCCAGAAACCAUCAGAAGCUGCCCUGCAGUUAUGAAUCUUGAGACUUUUCAUGGUGUUUGAUGACAUUCCAGCAGUUCGGGUUACCUGAACUGUCUGUAGGUCACCUGUGAAAUCCUAACCGAGCAGACGGGAUUUUUUUUUUAUUUUAUUCAAACACAGAAUAUGUCACUAAAAAGAUCAAAUCCCUGAAAAUCUGUUUUUACAGAUCUCAGUUUGCAGGAGUUAAUUAAGAAACUGUUCAUGUUUGUAAUCAAACAAAGAAAAGAUGAACAGUUGUGAGCGUCUCCUUCAGCAUCUCAUUCUCUGACAGGAGAGGAGAUGCUUUUAUUUUUGUGGCUUUUUCCUCCCACACAGCAAACCCCGUCCUCCCAACAAAGACCGGAGGUGCAGGAGGAGGAGGAGAAGAGCAACAAACAAAGAGGAGAAAUGCGAGGAGGAGGAGGAAGGAGCUGGAGCGGCCUCUGGGAUGACUCACAGCUAUCUUUGUCCCCCGCGACUCGGGAACAAACUCCGCCCCGCGCGGAGGAAAAGAAGGAAGAAGCAGACUGUUUGCUAUGCCGUCGCCGUGGAAACCAAGGCCAGGUUUCUUACGUUCCUCCACCUCGCUCUGGAAGGCAGAGGCAUUUUCCACCAGAAAUAAAAACGGUGGUUUUGGUGGAGCUAAAAGUGUUUCGUGAUAAACAAGAGGUUGUGAAUUCUACAGACAUCAUUAUCCUCCCCCGCCUGAGUGUUUUCUGCUUUACAAAUAUGUUAUUUUUGCUGCCUUAUGGAGUUUAAAAGGUUUUUUUCUCAUUGCAUUGUUGACAUUUCUGCAGAAACAUUCAUCACAUCUAAUCAUAAAACUACCUCCACCGUGCUUUAAAUCAGAAGCUGAACAUCUCAUUCCAGCAUACUCUUCUACGGGCCGUUCUAAUUGGCCGGACUCACCUGAUGCAAGUAAUCAGCCGUCAGCAUAACAUCUGGAAAACAUGUGGACACACCGGUCCUCCAGGCCCGGACUUCCCCCGCUUUACAUUGAACGGGUUUUUCCUGUGUAAACUGAAGUUCUGUGCAAUCUGAGCUUCCUCAUCACCAGAGGAGAAUUCAACCCCUCUCAUGCUCACGUUUACGACGCUCUAAUAACCAGUUUGUUUCUCAGCGAUCAGAGAACUUCCAAACGUUAAACUGAUUUAAGAUCAGUUUGACGUCCCACUCCGAUCAUCUUUAGAGCUGUUGUAAAAGUGUUCCCAGUAGUCUUUUAAUAUUGACGUUUUAGCCAAAAAA